rnacentral:tRNA from 1 species
GGUGCGGUGGUCGAGUGGUAACACUCUGGUCUACCAAACCAGAGGUCCCCGGUUCAAAUCCCGGCCGGGGCA